rnacentral:rRNA from 1 species
GACGAACGCUGGCGGCGUGCUUAACACAUGCAAGUCGAACGGAAAGGCCCUGCUUUUGUGGGGUGCUCGAGUGGCGAACGGGUGAGUAACACGUGAGUAACCUGCCCUUGACUUUGGGAUAACUUCAGGAAACUGGGGCUAAUACCGGAUAGGAGCUCCUGCUGCAUGGUGGGGGUUGGAAAGUUUCGGCGGUUGGGGAUGGACUCGCGGCUUAUCAGCUUGUUGGUGGGGUAGUGGCUUACCAAGGCUUUGACGGGUAGCCGGCCUGAGAGGGUGACCGGCGACAUUGGGACUGAGAUACGGAGCAGACUCCUACGGGAGGCAGCAGUGGGGAGUAUUGCACAAUGGGCGGAAGCCUGAUGCAGCAACGCCGCGUGCGGGAUGACGGCCUUCGGGUUGUAAACCGCUUUCGCCUGUGACGAAGCGUGAGUGACGGUAAUGGGUAAAGAAGCACCGGCUAACUACGUG